rnacentral:rRNA from 1 species
GAUCCUGGCUACAGGACACGCUGGCGGCGUGCCUAACACAUGCAAGUCGAACGGAGCACUUCGGUGCUUAGUGGCGGACGGGUGAGUAACACGUGAGUAAUCUGCCUUUGUNAGGGGGGACAACAUCUGGAAACGGAUGCUAAUACCGCAUAACGUGUUUUGAUCGCAUGAUCGAAACACCAAAGAUUUAUCGCACAAAGAUGAGCUCGCGGCUGAUUAGAUAGUUGCGGGGUAACGGCCCACCAAGUCGACGAUCAGUAGCCGGACUGAGAGGUUGAUCGGCCACAUUGGGACUGAGACACGGCCCAGACUCCUACGGGAGGCAGCAGUGGGGGAUAUUGCACAAUGGGGGAAACCCUGAUGCAGCGACGCCGCGUGAGGGAAGAAGGUUUUCGGAUUGUAAACCUCUGUCUUGUGGGACGAUAAUGACGGUACCACAGGAGGAAGCCACGGCUAACUACGUG